rnacentral:rRNA from 1 species
GAUGAACGCUAGCGGCAGGCUUAAUACAUGCAAGUCGAGGGACAGCACAGGUAGCAAUACUGGGUGGUAACCGGCAAACGGGUGCGGAACACGUACACAACCUUCCUUUAAGUGGGGGAUAGCCCAGAGAAAUUUGGAUUAAUACCCCGUAAUAUAGUUGAAUGGCAUCAUUUGAUUAUUAUAGCUACGGCGCUUAAUGAUGGGUGUGCGGCUGAUUAGAUAGUUGGCGGGGUAACGGCCCACCAAGUCUACGAUCAGUAGCUGAUGUGAGGACAUGAUCAGCCAAACGGGAACUGAGGCACGGGCCCGACUCCUACGGGAGGCAGCAGUAAGGAAUAUUGGCCAAUGGACGCAAGUCUGAACCAGCCAUGCCGCGUGAAGGAUUAAGGUCCUCUGGAUUGUAAACUUCUUUUAUUUGGGACGAAAAAGGGCCUUUCUAGGUCAACUGACGGUACCAGAUGAAUAAGCACCGGCUAACUCCGUGCCAGCCGCCGCCGUAAGAC